CAAGUUGCGGGUGCUAUACAUGCAGUCGAGCGGAUGACAGAGGAGCUUGCUCCUCUAGAUUCAGCGGCGGACGGGUGAGUAACACGUGGGCAACCUGCCCUGUAGAUUGGGAUAACUCCGGGAAACCGGGGCUAAUACCGAAUAAUCCUUCGGACCUCAUGGUCCGAUGUUGAAAGGCGGUUUCGGCUGUCACUACAGGAUGGGCCCGCGGCGCAUUAGCUAGUUGGUGAGGUAACGGCUCACCAAGGCCACGAUGCGUAGCCGACCUGAGAGGGUGAUCGGCCACACUGGGACUGAGACACGGCCCAGACUCCUACGGGAGGCAGCAGUAGGGAAUCUUCCACAAUGGACGAAAGUCUGAUGGAGCAACGCCGCGUGAGUGAAGAAGGUUCUCGGAUCGUAAAACUCUGUUGUGAGGGAAGAACAAGUGCCGGAGUAACUGCCGGUGCCUUGACGGUACCUCAUUAGAAAGCCACGGCUAACUACGUGCCAGCAGCCGCGGUAAUACGUAGGUGGCAAGCGUUGUCCGGAAUCAUUGGGCGUAAAGCGCGCGCAGGCGGUCCCUUAAGUCUGAUGUGAAAGCCCACGGCUCAACCGUGGAGGGUCAUUGGAAACUGGGGGACUUGAGUGCAGAAGAGGAAGAGCGGAAUUCCAAGUGUAGCGGUGAAAUGCGUAGAGAUUUGGGAGGAACACCAGUGGCGAAAGGCGGCUUUCUGGUCUGUAACUGACGCUGAGGCGCGAAAGCGUGGGGAGCAAACAGGAUUAGAUACCCUGGUAGUCCACGCCGUAACGAUGAGUGCUAGUGUUAGGGGGUUUCCGCCCCCUUAGUGCUGCAGCUAACGCAUUAGCACUCGCCUGGGGAGUACGGUCGCAGACUGAAACUCAAGGAAUUGACGGGGCCCGCACAAGCGGGUGGAGCAUGUGUUUACUCGAAGCACGGCGAGAACUUAACAAGUCUGACAUCCCGCGACGGCUAGAGACUAGGCCUCGUCGGGACGGCGGUGACGGUGGUGCAUGUUGUCGUCAGCUCUGUCCUGGAAUGUUGGUAAGUCAGCACGAGCCAACCUUUGACUUACUUGCAGCAUCAUGGCGCUUAGGUAACUGCGGGUCA
rnacentral:rRNA from 1 species